ACAUAGCCCUGAUGGUAACGGCAUCCUUUUUCUUUUCCGUUAACUUCGGCUACGCUCAGGCAACGGAAAAGAAAAAGAUAUAGUGGACAGCAGGUUGGAAU
rnacentral:sRNA from 1 species